rnacentral:rRNA from 1 species
GACGAACGCUGGCGGCGUGCUUAACACAUGCAAGUCGAACGGAAAGGCCCUGCUUUUGUGGGGUGCUCGAGUGGCGAACGGGUGAGUAACACGUGAGUAACCUGCCCUUGACUUUGGGAUAACUUCAGGAAACUGGGGCUAAUACCGGAUAGGAGCUCCUGCUGCAUGGUGGGGGUUGGAAAGUUUCGGCGGUUGGGGAUGGACUCGCGGCUUAUCAGCUUGUUGGUGGGGUAGUGGCUUACCAAGGCUUUGACGGGUAGCCGGCCUGAGAGGGUGACCGGCCACAUUGGGACUGAGAUACGGCCGAGACUCCUACGGGAGGCAGCAGUGGGGAAGAUUGCACGAUGGGCGGAAGCCUGAUGCAGCAACGCCGCGUGCGGGAUGACGGCCUUCGGGUUGUAAACCGCUUUCGCCUGUGACGAAGCGGGAGUGACGGGAAUGGGUAAAGAAGCACCGGCUAACUACGUG